GGUUGCGAUCAUACCAGCACUAAUGCACCGGAUCCCAUCAGAACUCCGCAGUUAAGCGUGCCUGGGCGAGAGUAGUACUAGGAUGGGUGACCCCCUGGGAAGUCCUCGUGUUGCAACCC
rnacentral:rRNA from 1 species